rnacentral:rRNA from 1 species
UACGGAGGGUGCGAGCGUUAUCCGGAUUCACUGGGUUUAAAAGGGUGCGUAGGUGGGAAUGUAAGUCAGUGGUGAAAUCUCCGUGCUUAACACGGAAACUGCCAUUGAUACUAUGUUUCUUGAAUUUUUCUGGAGGUUAGCGGAAUAUGUCAUGUAGCGGUGAAAUGCUUAGAUAUGACAUAGAACACCGAUUGCGAAGGCAGCUAACUACAGGGAUAUUGACACUGAGGCACGAAAGCGUGGGGAUCAAACAGG